rnacentral:rRNA from 1 species
ACGGACGGCCAUGCCACCCUGAAUGUGCCCGAUCUCGUCUGAUCUCGGAAGCUAAGCAGGGUCGGGCCUGGUUACUACUUAGAUGGGAGACUGCCUAGGAAUAUCGGGGGCUGUAGGCA